GAUGAACGCUGGCGGCGUGCUUAACACAUGCAAGUCGAACGGAAAGGCCCAAGCUUGCUUGGGUACUCGAGUGGCGAACGGGUGGGUAACACGUGGGUGAUCUGCCCUGCACUUCGGGAUAAGCCUGGGAAACUGGGUCUAAUACCGGAUAGGACGAUGGUUUGGAUGCCAUUGUGGAAAGUUUUUUCGGUGUGGGGUGAGCUCGCGGCCUAUCAGCUUGUUGGUGGGGUAAUGGCCUACCAAGGCGUCGACGGGUAGCCGGCCUGAGAGGGUGUACGGCCACAUUGGGACUGUGAGACGGCCCAGACUCCUACGGGAGGCAGCAGUGGGGAAUAUUGCACACUGGGCGGGAGCCUGAUGCAGCGAAGCCGCGUGGGUGAUGACGGCCUUCGGGUUGUAAACUCCUUUCGCUAGGGACGAAGCGUUUUUGUGACGGUACCUGGAGAAGAAGCACCGGCUAACUACGUG
rnacentral:rRNA from 1 species